rnacentral:lncRNA from 1 species
AGGGGAGGGUAGAGUUUAGGAUUGGUCAGUUACAUUCUAAGAUUGUAACCUCACUGUUUUACAGACAUUUUUCUCCUAUUUACAAGUCUGCUUGGUAGUAUACACAGAUAUUUAAUGUAUUAUUUAAUGUAACACCUGUUCUGAUGAAUGUCUUGUACCAAAAGCUCAAGUAAGAUUUCUGUUUUUUUUGCAUUGUGGUGGUGCGUAGAGCUUUUUUUCUGAAAUUUCUUUCUUUUUAAAAGAUCACAGAGAAGGCAAAACUGGAAGCUGCCAACCUUAGCAAAAUCAAGAAGGAGCACAACCUUGAUCAGGAGACAAUACAGCAGUGGGUGUGUGAUGUCAGACAAUGGGCGGUUACAGGUAAAACAGUACACUAUGUAUAUACAGUGUGUGUAUAUAUGCACACACACACACACACACAUCUGUUAAUGACUGUACCUUUAUACAAAUAAUAAAAGGUGGCUAUAUUUUGAAAAUGUCACUAAUUGUCUCUUGUCCAACUGUUUUGUUUCACCUAUUUAGAGAGAGUCUACACUACAGGUUGUACUGAAGAGCUAAGGGCUGACAUUGAGAACAUCACUGUAACCCUUUUGCGCAAGAAGAAAGAUCUGUAUCGUCGGCAUUGGUUUGUUGUACAAAUCUAAGUUUAUUUAAGUUAAUAACACUUACAAAAACAUAAUAUUCUAUGGCUACUAGUUUUCUUUCAUUUCGAUUUGCAGGAGUUGAAGAAAAAGCUUCGCGAAAAGGUCUUGCAAUACAACACCAUAGUGGAAGGAGAUCCGAUUGACGAGGAAUUGGCUUGCAGUCUGACAGAGGGAUACAUCCUACCAUGGGAGAGACACAAAGAUGGCAACACGUUCAGGUUGAAGAGAUCUAUCUUCGACCAGGUAAUGCUGCUGAAACGCUUGGAGGAGGAGCAGAGCAUCCUGGUAAAGGAGAUGUCUCAGCACAUCAAGUACCUUCUGAAGCAAGUGCAAGAAGUCGAGUCACUUAGAGGACAGACUUUGGAGCGCAUCAAAACCAGCAGUUUCAGUGACCUGACAGAGGACGCUACACAUGGGCUCAACAGUGUCCUCAGUCGGAGGGGUCACUCACCUAGAAGUCAACACCAACAGGCUGUUAAAGCAUACAGCAGUAUAGCCACUAUGGAAUGUGAUUUUCUUUCCAUACAGGAGGACAUUGAGGAGUGGGAUGACAAUGGCUUCACCAGCCCUGAAUCUGAGGAAGAAGACACCUAAAGACUGCUGCCAAACAACACAGAGGAACUGGAGAUUUGUACAAAAAAAAUCUUGCCUUUGUUUUUAAAUAGCUGUACCAAAGUAUCUACAGGAACGUUUGUGUAGAGUCUGUAUUUUUAUGAAAGGAAAAAAAAAAUAGAAAAACAUUGUUUUAUUUAUCUCUUCUAACAUUUGAGCUUGCUGGUUUCAGACCAAAACUGCUUAUUGCUGCUUUAAAUAAUUAAUUGUCAUCUUUGCAUGGAAAAAUCUAAUGAAGAUUCAAUGGCAGUCUGUGUGUAAUUGUAACAAGUAUAAUACUAUGUCUUUUUUUUAUUCCAUUAAUAUUAUUUGGAUUUUAUAUAUUUGUAGUUAUAGCAUACUUUAUGUUUUCUAUAUCUACAUGUAAAUACAGACAGACAAAUCCAAACAUUUUUCACUUACAUCCUGUAAAACUGUAUAAAGAAAUGUCUUACAUAUGCACCACUUUAAUAAACCCAUUUAAUGGAAUUGUCUGUUGUGUGAACUUAAUAUGCCAGUUAAAUCCUUCAGUGGUGGACCUGGCCGUAAAUAAGUACGUUUACACAAGUACUGUAAUUAGGUACAAAAUACUGGUAUUUGUACUUGUGUAUUUUCUAUUCAGAAAACUGCUUUAGUUACUAUUUACUUCACAAAGGUGGAGUUUUCCACACAAACAAUAUGAAGAGUAUAUAUUAAGGUACUCAACAGUUUGUACAAGUAUAGCUAGUACAUUAGUUAAUCGACAGAGCUUUAAUUGCCAGCUAUUUAGAUAAUUGUUUAAGUCAUGUCAUGUAAAAAC